AUUGAACGCUGGCGGCAUGCCUAACACAUGCAAGUCGAACGAGUGGCGGACGGGUAAGUAAUGUCUGGGAAACUGCCUGAUGCAGGGGGAUAACUACUGGAAACGGUAGCUAAUACCGAAUAACAUAAGAUCUGCCCAUGUGGGAUUAGCUUGUUGGUGUGGGAACGGCGCACCAAGGCGACGAUCCCUAGCUGGUCUGAGAGGAUGACCGGCCAAACUGUAACGGAGACACGGUCCAUACUCCUAGGGGAGGCAGAAGUGGGGAAUAUUGGACAAUGGGGGCAAGCCUGAUGCAGCCAUGCCGCGGAUAUGAAGAAGGCCUUCGGGUUGUAAAGGACGUUCGUCAGGGAGGCGUUACCCGAAGAAGAAGCACCGGCUAACUACGUGCCAGCAGCCGCGGUAAUUC
rnacentral:rRNA from 1 species